rnacentral:lncRNA from 1 species
UGAAUUAUAUAUAUAAUAAUAAGUAAAUACACAAUUUUUUUUAAAAAUGGAAAAACUUCAUUAAGCAUUAAACAUCUAUCUAAAAAUGUAAAAUAUAUAAUAUAAGUAAAUACACAAUUUUAAAAAAUAGAAAAAUUACAUUAAGAUUUAAAUAUCUAUUUUAAAAUAUAAAAUAUAGAUAUUACGUAAAUUAAAAUAUAAGAAAUGGAAAUAAACAUUAAAAAAAAUGGAAAAAGUACAUUAAGAUUUAAACAUCUAUCUUAAAUUGUACAUCUAUCUUAAAAUGGUAGUAAAUUAUAUAAAAAUGGAAAUACCACAUUAGACAAAAAAAAUGUAUAGUUUUACAUCAAGAAAGUCCCUAUAAAACUCAUUAUUCCAUCAAUAUCAACCUCACUUUAUCAAGUAAAAC